GUAAUGCAUCGGAAUGUACCGUGUAAUGGGGGAUAGCUCGGCGAAAGCCGGAUUAAUACCGCAUACGCCCUGAGGGGGAAAGUGGGGGACCGCAAGGCCUCACGUUAUACGAGCAGCCGAUGUCUGAUUAGCUAGUUGGUGAGGUAAGAGCUCACCAAGGCGUCGAUCAGUAGCGGGUCUGAGAGGAUGAUCCGCCACACUGGGACUGAGACACGGCCCAGACUCCUACGGGAGGCAGCAGUGGGGAAUUUUGGACAAUGGGCGCAAGCCUGAUCCAGCCAUGCCGCGUGUCUGAAGAAGGCCUUCGGGUUGUAAAGGACUUUUGUCCGGGAGCAAAUCCUAGUGGUUAAUAACCGCUGGGUCUGAGAGUACCGGAAGAAUAAGCACCGGCUAACUACGUGCCAGCAGCCGCGGUAAUACGUAGGGUGCAAGCGUUAAUCGGAAUUACUGGGCGUAA
rnacentral:rRNA from 1 species